GACAGAGGGUGCUAGCGUUGUUCGGAAUUACUGGGCGUAAAGGGCGCGUAGGCGGCUCGGUAAGUCCGCUGUGAAAGUCCAGGGCUCAACCCUGGAAUGCCGGUGGAAACUGUCGGGCUAGAGUCCGGAAGAGGCGAGUGGAAUUCCUGGUGUAGCGGUGAAAUGCGCAGAUAUCAGGAGGAACACCAAUGGCGAAGGCAGCUCGCUGGGACGGUACUGACGCUGAGACGCGAAAGCGUGGGGAGCAAACAGG
rnacentral:rRNA from 1 species